GAUGAACGCUGGCGGCGUGCUUAACACAUGCAAGUCGAGCGGGAAUGCAGAGACGGAAUUCUUCGGAAGGAAGCCUUUGUGUUUUAGCGGCGGACGGGUGAGUAACGCGUGGAUAACCUGCCCCAUACCGGGGGAUAACAGUUAGAAAUGACUGCUAAUACCGCAUAAGCGCACGGAGCCGCAUGGCGCAGUGUGAAAAACUCCGGUGGUAUGGGAUGGAUCCGCGUCUGAGUAGCUAGUUGGCGGGGUAACGGCCCACCAAGGCAGCGAUCAGUAGCCGACCUGAGAGGGUGGCCGGCCACAUUGGGACUGAGACACGGCCCAA
rnacentral:rRNA from 1 species